AACGCAUCUUGCACCUUGGGGUAUUCCCUAGGGUAUGUCUGUCUGAGUGUUAUUUGAACUCUCAAAGUCUCUUUCUUCACAAAGUCAGAGUGCUUUGGAUCUUGGGUGCUUGCAAACUGAGUUUGCUCACUUUAAAUCGAAUGUGGCAGUCCUCUCUGAAGCCAUCGUUGGGUUUGACCCGGAGUGAUAGAAGUCUUUCGAGAUCUCUGGGAAACCGCCUAUCUUGACGGUGCCUGAUGUGGUGGGAGUGAAUGUCCUUCAACAGACUCAACUGACGUUUUUGACCUCAGAUCAGAUAGGAUUACCCGCUGAACUUAA
rnacentral:misc_RNA from 1 species